rnacentral:rRNA from 1 species
UACGUAGGGUGCAAGCGUUAAUCGGAAUUACUGGGCGUAAAGCGUGCGCAGGCGGUUUUGUAAGUUUGUCGUGAAAGCCCCGGGCUCAACCUGGGAAUGGCGAUGAAGACUGCAAGGCUUGAAUCUGGCAGAGGGGGGUAGAAUUCCACGUGUAGCAGUGAAAUGCGUAGAGAUGUGGAGGAACACCGAUGGCGAAGGCGGCAUCCUGGACCAACACUGACGCUGAGGAGCGAAAGCCAGGGGAGCAAACGGG